AGGAUGAACGCUGGCGGCAGGCCUAACACAUGCAAGUCGAGCGCCCGUAGCAAUACGGGAGCGGCAGACGGGAUAGUAACACGUGGGAACGCGCCCUUCGGUUCGGAAUAACUCAGGGAAACUUGAGCUAAUACCGAAUACGCCCUUACGGGGAAAGAUUUAUUGCCGAAGGAACGGCCCGCGUCCGAUUAGCUAGUUGGUGAGGUAAUGGCUCACCAAGGCUACGAUCGGUAGCUGGUCUGAGAGGAUGACCAGCAUCACUGGGACUGAGACACGGCCCAGACUCCUACGGGAGGCAGCAGUGGGGAAUAUUGGACAAUGGGCGCAAGCCUGAUCCAGCCAUGCCGCGUGGAUGAUGAAGGCCUUAGGGUUGUAAAGUCCUUUUAACGGGAAGAUAAUGACGGUACCGUAGAAUAAGCCCGGCUAACUUCGCGCCAGCAGCCGC
rnacentral:rRNA from 1 species